UAAUUCUAGAGCUAAUACAUGCUGGUAGGCCCGACUUUUGCGGAAGGGCGGUAUUUAUUAGAUAACAAGCCAAUAUUCCUCUGGUCUAUUGUGGUGACUCAUAAUAACUGAUCGAAUCGCAAGGCCUUUGGCCGCGAUAAGUCAUUCAAGUUUCUGCCCCAUCAGCUUUCGAUGGUAGUGUAUUGGACUACCAUGGCGUUUACGGGUAACGGAGGAUUAGGGUUCGAUUCCGGAGAGGGAGCCUGAGAAACGGCUACCACAUCUAAGGAAGGCAGCAGGCGCGUAAAUUACCCAAUCCUGACUCAGGGAGGUAGUGACAAGAAAUAACGGACCGUGUCCUUCGGGACUCGGGAUU
rnacentral:rRNA from 1 species